GACGAACGCUGGCGGCGUGCCUAAUACAUGCAAGUCGAACGCUUCUUUCCUCCCGAGUGCUUGCACUCAAUUGGAAAGAGGAGUGGCGGACGGGUGAGUAACACGUGGGUAACCUACCCAUCAGAGGGGGAUAACACUUGGAAACAGGUGCUAAUACCGCAUAACAGUUUAUGCCGCAUGGCAUAAGAGUGAAAGGCGCUUUCGGGUGUCGCUGAUGGAUGGACCCGCGGUGCAUUAGCUAGUUGGUGAGGUAACGGCUCACCAAGGCCACGAUGCAUAGCCGACCUGAGAGGGUGAUCGGCCACACUGGGACUGAGACACGGCCCAGACUCCUACGGGAGGCAGCAGUAGGGAAUCUUCGGCAAUGGACGAAAGUCUGACCGAGCAACGCCGCGUGAGUGAAGAAGGUUUUCGGAUCGUAAAACUCCGUUGUUAGAGAAGAACAAGGACGUUAGUAACUGAACGUCCCCUGACGGUAUCUAACCAGAAAGCCACGGCUAACUACGUG
rnacentral:rRNA from 1 species